rnacentral:rRNA from 1 species
GACGAACGCUGGCGGCGUGCUUAACACAUGCAAGUCGAACGGAAAGGCCCUGCUUUUGUGGGGUGCUCGAGUGGCGAACGGGUGAGUAACACGUGAGUAACCUGCCCUUGACUUUGGGAUAACUUCAGGAAACUGGGGCUAAUACCGGAUAGGAGCUCCUGCUGCAUGGUGGGGGUUGGAAAGUUUCGGCGGUUGGGGAUGGACUCGCAGCUUAUCAGCUUGUUGGUGGGGUAGUGGCUUACCAAGGCUUUGACGGGUAGCCGGCCUGAGAGGGUGACCGGCCACAUUGGGACUGAGAUACGGCCCAGACUCCUACGGGAGGCAGCAGUGGGGAAUAUUGCACAAUGGGCGGAAGCCUGAUGCAGCAACGCCGCGUGCGGGAUGAUGGCCUUCGGGUUGUAAACCGCUUUCGCCUGUGACGAAGCAUGAGUGACGGUAAUGGGUAAAGAAGCACCGGCUAACUACGUG